rnacentral:rRNA from 1 species
CGUGUAGGCGGUCAGGUAAGUGGAAUGUGAAAUGCCCCGGCUCACCCGGGGACCGGCAUCCCAAACUGCCUGGCUUGAGUAUGGGAGAGGGUGGAGGAAUUCCUGGUGUAGCGGUGAAAUGCGUAGAUAUCAGGAGGAACACCGGUGGCGAAGGCGUCCAUCUGGCCCAAUACUGACGCUGAGGCGCGAAAGCUAGGGGAGCAAACGG